rnacentral:lncRNA from 1 species
GUUCUUCUCACUUUUUUGCAAAGUGCAUGCGACUUAUCUAGAUUUACAUGUACAUAGUUCAGAUUACCGGAUUGUUGCUGCGUAGUUUGUUGAUUCUGGAGCCAAGAUGGCAUCUUCUCUUGAUGCAAUAGAUGAUCCUUUUAUGAAACUUCACACCUGAAAGAGAAGAGCAUAAGAGCUGGACUAAUUAAAAGAAAGCACAAAGCUGCUUGCUUGCAGUCUUGACAAAUUUAAGACUGUAAAAGGAUAAGAAAAAAAAAUCAAAAGACACUGAAGCGGUUUCUUCUAUAUACAGUUUUUUUUUUUAAUUUUAGCAGCUCAUAGUAACAGAUUCACAUUCACAAAAGGACGAUGCUACCAGUAGAUCAUUUCUUAUCAUGGAGCUAGGUACCAUGGUGUCAUAAGGUAUAUUCACACAAUAUCUUGAGGAACAUUACUUGAUGUAUUAUGCUUGCCUUGAAUGUCUUAAGCUCGUAGUUCAUAAAGAAGAAUAUCCGCAGCUAGGUAAUAGUACUGCAUCAAGAAGUGGUGGUAUCUAGAAAAUCAAACUUGUUAUCUCAGAUGUGGUGGUACCGGCCAGAAUCAAUUUUCUCCCCCCAGACUUGGGUGAGAAUAAUGAUUGGUACCAUCCAAUUCCUAUCGCGAGACAUGUAUCUGAUUUUAAACAAGAGUACUAAAUAUAGGGAUUUCACACAUGACAAGAAAGUGCAUUUGAAACAUGGAAAUAGUAUGUAUAUAUAGUGUACUGUGGGAUAAAUGCAGUCUAUUCAGGACAUGAGCUGUUUUUAACAAAAUAAUAUGAAUAAUUUAUAUUCCCUGGAGAUAUGUAUGACAAUGUAGUUAUAUUUUGUUCAUACAAUAGGAUAGCAACAGAUUACUACCAGCACAACAAUUGCAACUGGAUAAUAAUUUGCAAUUCAUCCACAAAACAUUGAUAAUAAUAAAAUAAAUAAGCAUGGCAGAACAUCCAUUGCUCUCUCUAAUGGUCGUUUUAGCAAAUUCAGUUGAAAGUUUCCAAACUCAAGCUAAAUAAAGAAGAAGAAGAAGUAGUAGCUUUUAUAUGCAAAUGCAAGUAAUAAAUGUAAUCUGAGACAAACCUUUUUGAUGGUUUGUACUGGACUGGGCAACAAAAGAGAAGUCUCUCCUUUUUUUUUUUGAUAUAACUUACCACUCAUGUCAAGUGGUCGAAGUCUCUCCUUCUUGACCUUCCCCCCAAAUUUGU